AAAUUGAAGAGUUUGAUCAUGGCUCAGAUUGAACGCUGGCGGCAGGCCUAACACAUGCAAGUCGAGCGGAAACGAGUUAUCAGAACCUUCGGGGGACGAUAACGGCGUCGAGCGGCGGACGGGUGAGUAAUGCCUAGGAAAUUGCCCUGAUGUGGGGGAUAACCAUUGGAAACGAUGGCUAAUACCGCAUGAUGCCUACGGGCCAAAGAGGGGGACC
rnacentral:rRNA from 1 species